rnacentral:lncRNA from 1 species
UGACAUAUAUGUAUAUCACAAAACAUCCUUGAGGUUCACAGACCUAUCACAAAUGGUCCUUAUGAAAUUUUUUAAUUUUUUAAAUUUAAAAUUCAUAAAAUUUUUGUUUUCUUUUUAAAAUUUUAUGAAUUAUAAUUAUUUAAAAAUAUAUAUUAAAUUUUAAAUACAUGUGAUACUAUAUUAUUGUAGAUGUUGGCUCCAUAUAUAUGCCACAUCA